rnacentral:rRNA from 1 species
UGGGUAACCUGCCUUAUAGUGGGGGAUAGCCUUUCGAAAGGAAGAUUAAUACCGCAUAAGAUUGUAGUAUCGCAUGAUAUAGCAAUUAAAGGAGCAAUUCGCUAUAAGAUGGACCCGCGUCGCAUUAGCUAGUUGGUGAGGUAAUGGCUCACCAAGGNGACGAUGCGUAGCCGACCUGAGAGGGUGAUCGGCCACAUUGGGACUGAGACACGGCCCAGACUCCUACGGGAGGCAGCAUG